rnacentral:miRNA from 1 species
UACGCAAUCCCUAGGUUACCAU